UUCAGCUAAAAAAGGGUCCUCCGUGAUGAAGCAUUAUGGAAGAUUUUAUAUGCAGUUUUUGCAUCAUGCAGUUUUUUAUUGUGUUGUACGUAGUUUUUGUAUGCAGUUUGUAAUAUUGUAUGUAGUUUAUUUUUGCAGUUUUUGUAGUGUUGUAUGCAGUUUUGAAAUAUGCAGUUUUUACAGUAACAAUGUUUUGUGUGCAGUCUUUGUGCAGUACUAUGACAUUUUUCAUUGCAAACUUUUUUUAAAAUGUUGACAUGUUGUAUGCAGUUUCUAAAAAAAUCUAACUAUAGCUGUACCGCGGUGCAUCCAUAGUGGUGUAGGGCAUAUUCAUAUAUGU
rnacentral:lncRNA from 1 species